GACGAACGCUGGCGGCGUGCUUAACACAUGCAAGUCGAACGGAAAGGCCCUGCUUUUGUGGGGUGCUCGAGUGGCGAACGGGUGAGUAACACGUGAGUAACCUGCCCUUGACUUUGGGAUAACUUCAGGAAACUGGGGCUAAUACCGGAUAGGAGCUCCUGCUGCAUGGUGGGGGUUGGAAAGUUUCGGCGGUUGGGGAUGGACUCGCGGCUUAUCAGCUUGUUGGUGGGGUAGUGGCUUACCAAGGCUUUGACGGGUGGCCGGCCUGAGAGGGUGACCGGCCACAUUGGGACUGAGAUACGGAGCAGACUCCUACGGGAGGCAGCAGUGGGGAAUAUUGCACAAUGGGCGGAAGCCUGAUGCAGCAACGCCGCGUGCGGGAUGACGGCCUUCGGGUUGUAAACCGCUUUCGCCUGUGACGAAGCGUGAGUGACGGUAAUGGGUAAAGAAGCACCGGCUAACUACGUG
rnacentral:rRNA from 1 species